CCUACGGGUCGCAGCAGUGGGGAAUCUUGCGCAAUGGGCGAAAGCCUGACGCAGCCAUGCCGCGUGAAUGAUGAAGGUCUUAGGAUUGUAAAAUUCUUUCACCAGGGACGAUAAUGACGGUACCCGGAGAAGAAGCCCCGGCUAACUUCGUGCCAGCAGCCGCGGUAAUACGAAGGGGGCUAGCGUUGCUCGGAAUUACUGGGCGUAAAGGGAGCGUAGGCGGACAUUUAAGUCAGGGGUGAAAUCCCGGGGCUCAGCCUCGGAAUUGCCUUUGAUACUGGGUGUCUUGAGUAUGAGAGAGGUGUGUGGAACUCCGAGUGUAGAGGUGAAAUUCGUAGAUAUUCGGAAGAACACCAGUGGCGUAGGCGACACACUGGCUCGUUACUGACGCUGAGGCUCGAAAGCGUGGGGAGCAAACAGGAUUAGAUACCCGUGUAGUC
rnacentral:rRNA from 1 species